rnacentral:rRNA from 1 species
UAAUACAGAGGAGCCAAGCGUUGUCCGGAUUGACUGGGCGUAAAGCGCACGCAGGCGGAGGCGCGCGUGGGGUGUGAAAUCUGGCCGCUUAACGGCCAGGGGCCAUCCCAUACGGCGCAUCUGGAGCCGUGCAGAGGUCGGUGGAAUUGCCGGUGUAGUGGUGAAAUGCGUAGAGAUCGGCAGGAACACCCAGGGGGAAACCAGCCGACUGGGCACGUGCUGACGCUGAUGUGCGAGAGCGUGGGGAGCGAACCGGAUUAGAUACCCGGGUAGUCCACGCCGUAAACGAUGGCCACUCGGCCUUUGGGAGCGGAACCUCCGUUCCUGGGGGCCUUAGCAAACGCGGGAAGUGGCCCGCCUGGGAACUACGAGCGCAAGCUUA